rnacentral:misc_RNA from 2 species
AACGCACCUUGCGCUCCUUGGUAUUCCGAGGAGCAUGCCUGUUUGAGUGUCAUUAAAUUCUCAACCUCUCCAGCUUUUUGGCUGGGUGAGGAUUGGAUGUGGGGGUGUGCUGGCUUCCUUAAAAGAGGUCGGCUCCCCUUAAAUGCAUUAGCGGGAACGUCUUGCGGACCGUCACUUGGUGUGAUAAUUAUCUACGCCUCAUGACUGCGAUGCUCUUGUUCUGCUUCUAACCGUCCAUUGACUUGGACAAGCUUUUUGACAAUUUGACCUCAAAUCAGGUAGGACUACCCGCUGAACUUAA